UACAGAGGGUGCGAGCGUUGUCCGGAAUUACUGGGCGUAAAGGGCGCGUAGGUGGCGCUCCAAGUCUGUGGUGAAAGCUCGAUGCUCAACAUCGAGUCGGCCAUAGAGACUGGAGGGCUCGAGCACUGUAGGGGCAGAUGGAAUUCCGGGUGUAGCGGUGGAAUGCGUAGAGAUGUGGAGGAACACCGAUGGCGAAGGCAGCCCCCUGGGCUAACACUGACGCUCAUGCACGAAAGCGUGGGGAGCAAACAGG
rnacentral:rRNA from 1 species